rnacentral:rRNA from 1 species
CACGUAGUUAGCCGGAGCUUCCUCCUUAGGUACUGUCCUUUUUCUUCCCUAACGACAAUAGUUUACAAUCCGAAGACCUUCUUCCUAUACGCGGCGUCCCUGCGUCAGAGUUUCCUCCAUUGCGCAAUAUUCCCGACUGCUGCCUCCCGUAGGAGUCUGGGCCGUAUCUCAGUCCCAAUGUGGCCGUUCAACCUCUCAGUCCGGCUACUGAUCGUUGACUUGGUAGGCCGUUACCCCACCAACUAUCUAAUCAGACGCGAGCCCAUCUAUUAGCGGAUUACUCCUUUCCCACUUCCAUCAUGUGAUGAUUAUGGCAUAUGCGGUAUUAGCAAUGAUUUCUCACUGUUAUUCCCCUCUAAUAGGCAGGUUGCUCACGCGUUACUCACCAGUCCGCCACUAAAGCCAUUGUUAUAAAAUUUCAAUCAGAUAAAUCUUCAAUUCAUUUUAUAACGACUUCCGUUCGACUUGCAUGUCUUAUGUGCGCCGCAGCGUUUAU